UAUUUUGACAUUCAAUAAAUUAUACACUUGUCUGUCUUUUGUGUUUUAAUUUUAUUACUUCUGUAUGUCUUUCAGCUUGGCCACUAAAAGCACUAGACCUGAGUUUGAAACUAAGAACAUUUGUUCUACAUUAGUCUGUGCCGUCUGCUUUUGUUUCAGGUGGGGUCUCCUGUAUUUUGAUUGAAUCCAGAUAUGAACUUCGACCAUUUGUGCAAAAUGUUUAAUACAUGCAUGCCUUCUAGGAGAGCCAGAGAGCAAAAAAAGAGAAAAAUAACUCCAAAAGAAAGACGUUUUAAGCUGACACCAAUAUACGCUCUCACUGGGACUUGUUGUGCACUUGGAGCCCAGCAGAAAAUCAGGAUCAGGAGCUCUGUAAUUGAAUUCACCUGAUUAGAAUUCUACCCCCUCGAGAGUGCGGGAGUCUCGUGUAUGGUUAGCAUAAUAAACAAGAAAAUCUGAGACAUGGGAACGCGGGAACCACUUCUUCCAAGCAUACUGAAUCAAUUAAUAGCAUGUAGAAGGAAACCCUGAUUAUGUGAGCAGAGAGCCGGGCCAGCGAGAGAGGAGACUUGAUUCUGGGCAGAGCUGCAGCGGUUAAGCUUGGCCCCGGAGGAAUCCCACAUAGACACCGUUCACCUCUGCCAGGAGAGCACACCGCUGGUCAGCAACCUCCGUCGCUGGAUCAAAGAGCAGAAAUGGGAAUAAUUUGUAACAGAUGAGGCCUAAACUUUGGAGAGAGGCAGAUGUCAUGCUUUCUGGAAUUUACAUUUUCUGGAGUCAACGGCCAACUGAAGCACUCUGGCUUUAGUUCUGCUCUUCUGCAGGCAAGCUGAGAUGCCUUGGAGGAGGCACCGAAGACCCUUAAAGCAGAGGCAGAUGAGAAGGAGGCCAAGCAGUCAUGGUUAAAGCACACCCCCGGUUCUUGUGUGCAUAUUCAAAAGAGUUAAUGAGCCGCAAGGUCACAGUGCUGCCAUCUACGAGGCCAUCCGUCAUGUCGCCUUCACUGUUCUUCGCCUGCUCCGAUUGGCUGGGAGGAUUCAUGAGGCUUGUAUUGCAUUACAUCACUGUUAAUGCACCAAGAGUUAAUGAACUUGCCUGCUCUAUCACUCAGGCCAUCCACAGUCACUCUUCUAAUCAGCAACCACUUCUUAAUCAGCUAUGAGGUCGUCUGGAGGUGGACGAGUGAGUACCCAAUUCU